rnacentral:rRNA from 1 species
UACGUAGGGUGCGAGCGUUAUCCGGAUUCAUUGGGUUUAAAGGGUGCGUAGGCGGACUGAUAAGUCAGUGGUGAAAUCUCUCAGCUUAACUGAGAAACUGCCAUUGAUACUGUCGGUCUAGAGUAUAGAUGACGUUGGCGGAAUAUGACAUGUAGUGGUGAAAUACUUAGAUAUGAUAUAGAACACCAAUUGCGAAGGCAGCUUGCUAAACGAUCAUUGACGCUGAGGCACGAAAGCGUCGGGAUCAAACAGG